GAUGAGGUGGCCGAACUAGGUGGUUAAUUGUAAAUUAUCUUAUGGAAAUUUUCCUCUUAUCA
rnacentral:tRNA from 1 species